ACACCAAGCUGAAGGGGGUUUUAUCUGUACCUGGGAUGACGGACUGCAGGUGGAACGUCACAUUGACACCAAGCUGAAGGGGUUUUAUACCUGGGAUGACGGACUGCAGGUGGAACGUCACAUUGACACCAAGCUGAAGGGGGUUUUAUACCUGGGAUGACGGACUGCAGGUGGAACGUCAC